rnacentral:misc_RNA from 1 species
CCAAAGAUGGCGGGCCUCCGCGCCCCCGUCCCCAACCCAUUGUUGACCAAAACCCUUUUGCCUCGGGGGCAGAGCGUCCGCCGCCGCCCCCGGAGGACCACCUAACGCUGUCUCUUUGCGUCAGAGUAAUUGAUUAAAUAAAUGA